AGGAGGUAAAUAAGAUUGUACUAUAUAUUCCGUGAAGAAUAGUCUCGACAGCACACUUUUAUUUUCCGCUACGAAGGAGCACUUUGCCUGGUUGCGCCAGCUGCUAAAAUGAAGAACUGCUACAUCGUGGUCAUGCUGCUUGCCCUGACUGUGUUCACGGGAAUCGGCGCCAGAAAAGUGCAACCUGAAUAUGCGAAAAACUUCUGUAUUGGCUACUGGGAAUUCGGACACUGUUCGGAUCAUGACCAGUGUAGUAGAUACUGCGAGAGCAAGGGCUACUGGUUCGGCGGUUGCGGAUCAGACUACGGCGCAAUGUGCUGGUGCUACAAAAAAUAAUGCAUGUGCACCCUUCUUGUUUCCUCACUUUUUGCGCCUUACUGGCAGUGUCUUCUAUCGGUGGUUCGUUCACGAAUAAUGGUGCGAAUAAAAGUACACGUUUCAUACGAGCAGCCUGCCCACCGGAAACUUUACGACACUCACUUCCCUAUUCGCAAUCUCAUGUUUGCCCCGUACAUUUGAUCACUGCUGAUUUUACAUCGGGCCGUCUUGGUGGCUUGGUGGCUGUCGCAUUGCGCUCCUUAGACACAAAGCGAAACGCAAACGUGCACGGGUACCACGCAUGGCCUUUCGUCAAAGAGCCUCGAGUGCUCAAAAUUAUUGCGCAGUCCCGCACUCCAACGUGCUUUAUAUUAAAAUCGUGGUUUUAUUUUACAAAAUCCCUGAAAUAAAGUUUUUGA